rnacentral:lncRNA from 1 species
ACAACUCCCAGAUUCUGGAUAUGAAUCUAGGCACUAGGAAGUUACUAGUCUUAGUUCUUACUUCAUUUCCUGUCCUCUGUUUAUUUGAUUUUUUUUCCCCCUCUCAUUAGUAAACCAGCUAUUUCUUUCUACAUUUCUAACAUUUAUCUACCAUUCUUCUUUGUCAAAAAGAAUCUCAGUUUAUGGAAGCAGAGGGAAACUAAGAUGAGACUUCAGAGAAGGCACUAGAAACUAACUUAUCUUCA